rnacentral:rRNA from 1 species
UGAGGAACAUGACUUUCGGCGGGGGAUAGCCGGCCCAACGGCCGGGUAAUACCGCGUACGACCUUUUGGGGACAUCCCCGAUUGGUGAAAGCAGCAAUGCGCCGAAAGAGUGCCUCGCGGCCUAUCAGCUAGUUGGUGGGGUAAUGGCUCACCAAGGCGACGACGGGUAGCUGGUCUGAGAGGAUGGCCAGCCACAUUGGGACUGAGACACGGCCCAGACCUCCGUACGGGAGCAG